rnacentral:rRNA from 1 species
UGGGGAAUUGUUCGCAAUGGGCGCAAGCCUGACGACGCAACGCCGCGUGGAGGAUGAAGACCUUCGGGUCGUAAACUCCUUUCGAUCGAGACGAACGGCCUCCGGGUGAACAAUCCGGAGGAGUGACGGUACCGAGAGAAGAAGCCCCGGCUAACUCCGUGCCAGCAGCCGCGGUAAUACGGGGGGGGCAAGCGUUGUUCGGAAUUACUGGGCGUAAAGGGCUCGUAGGCGGCCAACUAAGUCAGACGUGAAAUCCCUCGGCUUAACCGGGGAACUGCGUCUGAUACUGGUUGGCUUGAGUUUGGGAGAGGGAUGCGGAAUUCCAGGUGUAGCGGUGAAAUGCGUAGAUAUCUGGAGGAACACCGGUGGCGAAGGCGGCAUCCUGGACCAAUACUGACGCUGAGGAGCGAAAGCCAGGGGAGCAAACGGG